CUACGGGGGGCUCCAGUGGGGGAUAUUGCACAAUGGGGGAAACCCUGAUGCAGCAAUGCCGCGUGAGGGAAGAAGGUCUUCGGAUUGUAAACCUAAGUUGUCAGGGACGAAACAAAUGACGGUACCUGAAAAGAAAGCUCCGGCUAACUACGUGCCAGCAGCCGCGGUAAUACGUAGGGAGCGAGCGUUGUCCGGAUUUACUGGGUGUAAAGGGUGCGUAGGCGGGUUUGCAAGUCAGGCGUGAAAUACCGAGGCUUAACUUCGGAGCUGCGCUUGAAACGGUAGGUCUUGAGUGAAGUAGAGGCAGGCGAAAUUCCUAGUGUAGCGGUGAAAUGCGUAGAUAUUAGGGGGAACACCAGUGGCGAAGGCGGCUUGCUGGGCUUUAACUGACGCUGAGGCACGAAAGCAUGGGAGCAAACAGGAUUAGAUACCCGGGUAGUC
rnacentral:rRNA from 1 species